AUACGUAUGUCGCAAGCGUUAUCCGGAAUUAUUGGGCGUAAAGCGAGUCUAGGCGGCUUGUUAAGUCAGAUGUGAAAAUGCGGGGCUCAACUCCGUAUUGCGUUUGAAACUGGCAGGCUAGAGUACUGGAGAGGUGGGCGGAACUACAAGUGUAGAGGUGAAAUUCGUAGAUAUUUGUAGGAAUGCCGAUAGUGAAGACAGCUCACUGGACAGAUACUGACGCUAAAGCUCGAAAGCGUGGGGAGCGAACAGGAUUAGAAACCCGAGUAGUCC
rnacentral:rRNA from 1 species